GAUGAACGCUGGCGGCGUGCCUAAUACAUGCAAGUCGAGCGAACGGACGAGAAGCUUUCUUCUCUGAUGUUAGCGGCGGACGGGUGAGUAACACGUGGAUAACCUACCUAUAAGACUGGGAUAACUUCGGGAAACCUGAGCUAAUACCGGAUAAUAUUUUGAACCGCAUGGUUCAUAAGUGAAAGCCGGUCUUGCUGUCACUUAUAGAUGGAUCCGCGCUGCAUUAGCUAGUUGGUAAGGUAACGGCUUACCAAGGCAACGAUGCAUAGCCGACCUGAGAGGGUGAUCGGCCACACUGGAACUGAGACACGGUCCAGACUCCUACGGGAGGCAGCAGUAGGGAAUCUUCCGCAAUGGGCGAAAGCCUGACGGAGCAACGCCGCGUGAGUGAUGAAGGUCUUCGGAUCGUAAAACUCUGUUAUUAGGGAAGAACAUAUGUGUAAGUAACUGUGCACAUCUUGACGUUACCUAAUCAGAAAGCCACGGCUAACUACGUG
rnacentral:rRNA from 1 species